rnacentral:rRNA from 1 species
GUACUACUCUCAGAGUUUGAUCCUGGCUCAGGAUGAACGCUAGCGGCAGGCUUAACACAUGCAAGUCGAGGGGCAGCAUGAGACGGAGAUUCGUCGAAGUCUUGAUGGCGACCGGCGCAAGGGUGCGUAACGCGUGAGCAACUUGCCCGUUUCAGGGGGAUAACCGGUGGAAACGCCGACUAAUACCCCAUAGUAUUGACCUUAGGCAUCUUUGGUCAAUUAAAGAAUUUCGGAAACGGAUAGGCUCGCGUGACAUUAGCUAGAUGGCGGGGUAACGGCCCACCAUGGCGACGAUGUCUAGGGGUUCUGAGAGGAAGGUCCCCCACACUGGAACUGAGACACGGUCCAG